rnacentral:rRNA from 1 species
GUGGGGAAUUUUGGACAAUGGGCGAAAGCCUGAUCCAGCCAUGCCGCGUGCAGGAUGAAGGCCUUCGGGUUGUAAAGCUCUUUAGCCGAUGAUUAUAAUGACUGUAGUCGGAAAAUAAGCCCCGGCUAACUUCGUGCCAGCAGCCGCGGUAAUACGAAGGGGGCGAGCGUUAUUCGGAAUCACUGGGCGUAAAGCGUGCGUAGGCGGCUUUGCAAGUUGGGAGUGAAAGCCCAGGGCUCAACCCUGGAAUUGCUCUCAAAACUGCAAGGCUCGAAUUCGGGAGAGGAUAGCGGAAUUGUCAGUGUAGCAGUGAAAUGCGUAGAUAUUGACAGGAACACCAGUGGCGUAAGCGGCUAUCUGGACCGAUAUUGACGCUGAGGCACGAAAGCGUGGGGAUCAAACAGGAUUAGAAACCCCAGUAGUCC